rnacentral:rRNA from 1 species
AUGUAUCUAGUGGCUUGGGCUGUAGUUGAGAAGGAAACAAAAGAAAGUUGUAAGUGGUUUGUUGGGCUGCUUAUCAAAGAUCUGGAUAUCAACAACAAUGGAGCCGGCUGGGUUGUUAUUUCAGAUCAGCAAAAAGGAUUAAUAAAUGCAAUGCAAGACUAUCUUCCAAAUGCAGAACACAGGAUGUGUGCUAGGCACAUAUAUGCGAACUGGAGAAAGAAACAUAGAUCUCAUGAGUGGCAGAAUUUUUUUUGGGCCAUUGCAAAAGCUUCUAACAAGCAAUAUUUCAAAUAUCGCAAAGCAAAACUUGCUCAAGAGACACCUGAUGGAGUGAAGGACAUUAUGAGGACAUAG